rnacentral:rRNA from 1 species
UACAGAGGUCUCAAGCGUUGUUCGGAUUCAUUGGGCGUAAAGGGUGCGUAGGCGGCGCGGUAAGUCGGGUGUGAAAUCUUGGAGCUUAACUCCGAAACUGCAUUCGAUACUGCCGUGCUUGAGGACUGGAGAGGAGACUGGAAUUUACGGUGUAGCGGUGAAAUGCGUAGAUAUCGUAAGGAAGACCAGUGGCGAAGGCGGGUCUCGUGGACAGUUCCUGACACUGAGACACGAAGGCCAGGGGAGCAAACGGGG